UUGAUUUUAUGAUACAGUGCAGUAUGUUUUUAUAAAUAAGUAUUUGAUGCUCGAUUUAAUGCUUUUCUAGAAAAUUGAUUUUUUAUUUAUGUGUUGAUAUUUAUUGUUAUUGAGAAUGAGUUUGAUUAAUGAUUUUACUAUCGUUUUUUUAGUAAAGGCAUGAUAUUAGAAUUGAGCAGAUUUGAGAUAUGUUGAAUAGAAAGAAAAUGAGAUUUCAGAUGUGAUUAUAUGUUUAUAUACAUGAGUAUAAAUAUUGUUUUUGAAAACAUUAGACAGUACCCUUCCCUCCAGAUACAGAGAUACAGAUAUGAGAUAUAGAUCAGUUACAGAGAUACAGAGAUACAAAGAUACAGAUAUGAGAUACAGAUCAGUUACAGAGAUAUAGAGAUACAUAUAUGAGAUACAGAUCAAUUACAGAGAUACAGUGAUACAGAUAUGGGAUACAGAUCAGUUAUUGAGAUACAGUGAUACAGAUAUGAGAUACAGAGAGUUGAGAUACAGAUGAGAUACAGGCCUUUGGGGCCCGUCUGAGUACACACAGAGGCUUUGGGCCGUGUGCUUGGGCGCUUUUGUCCUUUGGGGACUAGAUUAUGCAUGCACAGAUAUGAUGAGAUAUGAGAUAGUAUUUCCCUGUCUAUCCGUUGUAGCUCCGGGGCAUGACGUUACCCAGAUAGUGCGUCAUUGCCCGUCCGUUGAGGUCCGGAUAUGACGAGAUUUCCCUGGGUACUUGUUUGAUGAUAGUUUUGGUAUUCAGUAUUUGAUAUAAUAAGUAUUAUGUUUCCAUUGAUUUUAUGCAGAUUUACGUAAUAUAGUAUUUCAGUGACUGAUUUGAAUUAAAUAAGUUUAUGUAAGUUCUUAUGAUAUUCUGAUGAAAUUGAUUUGAGAAAUUGAUGAUUUGAGAAAUUGAUUUGAAAAAGAUUAAAUUAUUUUUUAAAAGAAUUGAUUUUUAAAAUUAUUAUCCACUCACUGAGUUCACUGAGUUUUAUACUCAUUCCGCUUUUAUUAUAUUUUCUCCCCCCCAGGAGACUUGCAGGUACAUCAGUCGACUCAGUAACGAUAGUUAGAUUUGAAAUUGUGGCCACGUAAUGGUGCUAGAAGUCGUAGAUUUAAUUAUUUUAAUUAUUUGGGAUAUUGCGAAUUGUAUUUAUUUAUUAUAUUUUGUAAUUAAGGAUUACCAGUGUAUUUUAUUAUUAGAAGGGUUUGGGUGAAAUUUGAGGUGUUGACUUGAGAAGUUGGUUAUGAAGGAUGGUUGGAUAUCAAAUUAUUUUGGGAGUGUUGAUUUGUAAUUUGCAGGAUUGGAUAUGUUUUAAUUAUAAGGGAGACUCUGCCGAAAUUUUUAUAGAAUAGUUUCGAUUUUACGAGUUUAGAUAGACUGGUCCUAGGGAGUUGCGGGGCGGGUUGUUUUAGUUGGUAUCAGAGCCAGGUUUUAGAUUCUGUAGACUUUACUGUCGUAAAUAGAAUAAGUUUUGAUUAUUAAAGUCGGAAUUGAUAUUUUGUGGGCGCCAUUCGGAUUUAUUGUAGCCGUGGAUGUGAUCGUGGCCGUACUAGACUAGUAGCUGGGUUGACUCCAGCAGAUGUACUGUACACCUUGAGGGAUCAUUACUUAUGACAGCGUAUGAAGAGAGAGAUAGUAUAAUGUUUGUCAGCAGAUUAAGGCUGUGUAUCAGAGGCCUGCUGAGUUAUCGCAGAUGUUUUUGUUUAUUAUUGAGUGAAAGUGGAAACACAUCACUAUGGACAAGUUAGGAAGUAUUUAUAUGGCUGGAAUAAUUUGAUUUUAUGGAGUACUUGUAUUUAUUGUCUCAUAU
rnacentral:lncRNA from 1 species